UCGGGAAUUUUGGGCAAUGGGCGAAAGCCUGACCCAGCAACGCCGCGUGAGGGAUGAAGUAUUUCGGUAUGUAAACCUCGAAAGAAUGGGAAGAAUAAAUGACGGUACCAUUUAUAAGCUCCGGCUAACUACGUGCCAGCAGCCGCGGUAAUACGUAGGGAGCAAGCGUUGUUCGGAUUUACUGGGCGAAAAGGGCGCGUAGGCGGCGCGGUAAGUCACUUGUGAAAUCUCUGAGCUUAACUCAGAACGGCCAAGUGAUACUGCUGUGCUAGAGUGCGGGAGAGGCGACCGGAAUUCUUGGUGUAGCGGUGAAAUGCGUAGAUAUCAAGAGGAACACCUGUGGCGAAGGCGGGUUGCUGGGCCGACACUGACGCUGAUGCGCGAAAGCCAGGGGAGCAAACG
rnacentral:rRNA from 1 species